UAUCGACUCUACUGAUUGUACUGUAGGCAC
rnacentral:misc_RNA from 1 species